UGCAAAUUCGACAAAGGCAACGCGAACAACGAUAGACGAAUAAUAUAUCAGUUUCGAUUUCGCUUUCAACAAUCCAACAUCUUCUGUUCAAUCGAAGAAAUGUCUGACAAAGGCAAGACGCCAUAUCAAGGAAAAGGUCGCUGUUUUGGAGAAUAUUUUUGCGAACAGUGUACUCGAACCUGGAUGUCUGGCAAUUCUUGGAAAAAUACUGCCCAAAUGUGCACCAACUGCAAUGUUCGCGUCUUUCCACAUAAACAGAGACCACUACAGAAGCCUGACGGGCUGGAUGUCUCCGAUCGAACUAAGUCUCAUCCGCAAGAAUUAUGCGAUCGUUGCAAGCAACUCGGUAGAUUUUGUGGA